UCAACGGGUUCGAUGCGAAUGCCAGCUGUUACAGAAACAACCGCCAUGAACCCAGGUCCACCAAGCAGAGAUAAGCUUUCGUUUAUAAGGAUGCAUCUGAGACAGGAGACUGUGUGUCGGCUUCAUUUUCGCUAGCGCCGGAGGCUAACUAGCUCGCUAACAAGCAAGCUAACGAUAUCUUCGAAUGGGUGCAGUAACUGUUCUUCGAUUCGAUUGGGGUUAUUACCGACAAACACCGACAUGAAACGACAUGAGCGGGUCCACCCAGCAGAUAUAAGCGUUACUUUAUGCGGAUGACUCUGAGACAGGAGACUGUGUGUCGGCUUGUAAGUUAGUUUCGCUAGCGGGCUAGCGAUGCUAACUGAAACCUGAGAAACCUGAGUGUUUAAAGUCACAUCUGCAUUGCAAGAGCAGCUGUUCAAAGGAGCAUUACGUGUCCUAAAGCUCUUUCUUCAGAGUAGUGUUGUAACGUGUUACAGUGAAAAGUAACCGUGUCUCCCACCUUCAGUAUUUAAAUCGUUAAUCUCAGACAGACUUCACUGAAUUCUUUUGUUAAAUAUGAGUAAAUCAUAGCCUUGUAACUUUACUAGAACAGACAGUGUCAUACAGAAUUGUAGGCUAAUAUGCACUACCUAUUUCCUAAGCUGAAAUGAUUAUGAUCUGAUUAACUUUGAAUUAAUAUUUUAUUAUUACCAUGUAAAAGUCUGUUAAGCAGAUAACAUGGCACAUGUAUGACUUAACAUAUCUGUGUAUUUGUGUUCAAUGUUCCUCUAGGAUGUCCAGCGUGAGACACAACUUGAAUCCAACCAGACUGAACACUGACUCCAGGGACGGACGAGCCUGAAGGACACAGCUGUGAUGACCAUGUUCUGUCUCUUAUGACAAAGCAGAAAUAUAAAACACUGGGUUCUUAUCUAAAGUGUAUCAAAUCAGAUCUCCACCAUGUUGCUGCUGAGGACAUUAGGUGCUGCAGUUCUUCAUCUAUGAAGAUGAAAAAACUCACUGUUAAAGAAUGUUUUGUGUUGUGUAUGAAGCACAACAGAUUUCAGAUAGAACCGUUGUACUGUGGUCUGGGUUUGUAUCCUAAUGGUUAAAUGCACAUAUUUUAAGUCGCUUUUGAUAAAAGUACUGAAAGAAAUACAACAUUGUAAAAAUAGAUAAAAUGUCUUUCUACCUCAUCUGUAAUAUUCAAGGUGAUAAUCUCCCACAGAGCUAUUGAUAACAGUCCACAUCAAGUCUCUCCACUUCCCUCGGUGUGAAAACAUAAUUAUAUAAUUAAUUUGAGAACUGUUUACAACACUGAUGUGUGGAGAUUAUAAUCAUAUCUAAACUGUCAUAUUCACUGUAAAACUCCAUGACAGGCUAAAUAAACGCGGUGGGAAUAGUAAUGGUGGAUAUAAUAUAUUGUAACUUUACUAGAACAGACAGUGUUCAUAGAGAAUUUGAAAAUGAUGUACACUACCUAUUUCCUAAGAUGAAAUGAUUAUGAUCUGAUUAUUUUUAUGUUUCCUCUCAUUUUAUUAGGGACGGACGAGCCUGAAGGACACAGCUGUGAUGACCAAUUGACCAUGUUUUGUCUCUUAUGGCAAAGCAGAAAUAUUAAACACUGGGUUCUUAUCUAAAGUGUAUCAAAUCAGAAAGCAAAAGAUACACAUUGUUGUAAUAAGUUUUUAUUAUUUUAACCAACCAUAAUAAAGAUAGAAAUGAA